UUUCUUUCCACCCGGGACUGUGGCAGAGAAGAGUCUAUGGCACUUCCCUUGGCUUUCAGAAACCAAAAUUAGAGACAAAUGUGUCCCCAGUCUCCUUUCUGGAAACACAGCCUCCUCAAACCGGCUAUGCUUAAUUUAGAUAAAAAGCCAUUAUCCCUCCCGAGUCCUCGGGGUUUCCUGCACCUGCAGCCCUGUUACUUUGAUUCAUUUCUCCCUGGAAUUCAUCUGGAUCAUACGUCGUUUUCAAGGCACCAUGGGAAUACAGAAGAGGUCCAGUUGAGGCUGUCUAGAUGGAUCCCACAGAGGAAAUAUGACCAAAACUUGAGGAUGAGCAAGAGUGAGGGAGGCAAACCCAGAAGGAAGUGGACGCCAAGGGGAGAAACGUCAGGGAAGGGUCACGGGCAAGGCGUGAGCAGAGAACAAAGAGUGUAUCCUUCAAGUCAGAGUGCGUUGAGACCAAGAGAGACGCUCUAAGUCCCUGGUUGGGACCGUGGGCAUGAGUCAGCGUGGACCAGGAGAACUGGGCAUCUGGCCACUUCAUGCGGAGGCACCGACCAUCCGGCCUGACGCACACGCGCAGCGCUCUGUCGGUGCUGGGGUUGGUCCCUGGCCGUUCGUGCAGG